rnacentral:rRNA from 1 species
GCGCAGCAGUCGAGAAACCUCCGCAAUACACGAAAGUGUGACGGGGCCAUCCCGAGUGCCGUCCGCUGAGGACGGCUUUUCCCCAGUGUACACAGCUGGGGGAAUAAGGAGAGGGCAAGCCUGGUGUCAGCCGCCGCGGUAAUACCAGCUCUCCGAGUGGUGGGGACGCUUAUUGGGCCUAAAGCAUCCGUAGCCGGCUGGGCAAGUCCUCCGUUAAAUCCAACGAUUCAAUCGUUGGGCUGCGGGGGAUACUGUCCAGCUUGGGGGCGGGAGAGGCCGACGGUAUUCCCGGGGUAGGGGUGAAAUCCUAUAAUCCCGGGAGGACCACCAGUGGCGAAGGCUGUCGGCUAGAACGCGCCCGACGGUGAGGGAUGAAAGCUGGGGGAGCGAACCGGAUUAGAUA